UGCUUGCUUGAAGAAUAUGUGGAAUGUACAUCCUUGCUUCACUGACUUGAGGAUAGUCACAUGGCUUGCCUUGGUUAAUGGAAUAUUAGUGAAGAUGAGAAAACUGAGGCCAAGAAGAAGUCUAGAUUAUAAAUCCACAGACCAGAAAACCUCCACAGAAUCAGAAGUGCACAGAGCCAACAACACCACAGUCCAGCCAGUUGAAUGCUCUUUGGGCUACAGCCGUGGCUAAGUGUGAUCCCAGAAGGCAUGGUGAGUUAUACAAUCUAGCGAAACACAUUUGGCAGAUGGAGGAAGCAUCUGAGAAUAAGACCAUGACUACUGCAGGGAUUGUGGAAUCUUAUUGUUUUGUUUUAUCCUGCUAUGUGUUAUAUGUAUGAUGAUUUACAUUUCAGUGUAUUGGAUACUUUCCAUUUAUUCAAGAAAUAUGUCACAUGUUAAAACUUUGAAAAUAAAGUUUUUAUAAUGUUAAC
rnacentral:lncRNA from 1 species